AUUGAACGCUAGCGGGAUGCUUUACACAUGCAAGUCGAACGGCAGCGCGGACUUCGGUCUGGCGGCGAGUGGCGAACGGGUGAGUAAUGUAUCGGAACGUGCCCAGUAGCGGGGGAUAACUACGCGAAAGCGUAGCUAAUACCGCAUACGCCCUACGGGGGAAAGCAGGGGAUCGUAAGACCUUGCACUAUUGGGGCGGCCGAUAUCGGAUUAGCUAGUUGGUGAGGUAACGGCUCACCAAGGCGACGAUCCGUAGCUGGUUUGAGAGGACGACCAGCCACACUGGGACUGAGACACGGCCCAGACUCCUACGGGAGGCAGCAGUGGGGAAUUUUGGACAAUGGGGGCAACCCUGAUCCAGCCAUCCCGCGUGUGCGAUGAAGGCCUUCGGGUUGUAAAGCACUUUUGGCAGGAAAGAAACGUCGCGGGCUAAUACCCCGUGGAACUGACGGUACCUGCAGAAUAAGCACCGGCUAACUACGU
rnacentral:rRNA from 1 species